rnacentral:snRNA from 1 species
GUGCUUUCUUUGCAGCACAUAUGCUAAAAUUUGAACAAUACAGUGAAGAUUAGCAAAGCCCUUGCACAAGGAUGACACACAAAUUCAUGAAGUGUUCCAUAUUUGU